GAAAAAUCUUUGGGGUAAUCACAGAUAGCAGUUUCCAGGAGAGCCUGGAGAUGGCUGCCUUGCUUGGAGCUCCGUGAUUAGCCUGGUUGCCUGCAUCAUACUGCAAAGUUGUAUGGAGGAUUUCAUCACACAUCAGAUGGCUCAUUUUACUGUGGGACUGCAAACAAAUUCACUUGCUCUUCAAUAUUUCACAAUUAGAACCGCUCUAGCUGGCCACGGCAGGAAAUAAAUUAGAGAGAAAGCACCAAGACAUUUCAAUAUUAUAUUAUGACAUGCCUGAGUGCCACCAGCUCAAGAGUGUUAUGACCUUUAGGAUGAAGCAUUGUGGGAAAAGAGCCACAGACUUCAUUACUAAACAGAAGG